CCUACGGGAGGCUGCAGUGGGGAAUAUUGGACAAUGGGCGAAAGCCUGAUCCAGCCAUGCCGCGUGUGUGAAGAAGGCCUUCGGGUUGUAAAGCACUUUCAGUGGGGAAGAAAGCCUUGGGGCUAAUACCCUCGAGGAAGGACAUCACCCACAGAAGAAGCACCGGCUAACUCCGUGCCAGCAGCCGCGGUAAUACGGAGGGUGCGAGCGUUAAUCGGAAUUACUGGGCGUAAAGCGCGCGUAGGCGGUCUGAUAAGCCGGUUGUGAAAGCCCCGGGCUCAACCUGGGAACGGCAUCCGGAACUGUCAGGCUAGAGUGCAGGAGAGGAAGGUAGAAUUCCCGGUGUAGCAGUGAAAUGCGUAGAGAUCGGGAGGAAUACCAGUGGCGAAGGCGGCCUUCUGGACUGACACUGACGCUGAGGUGCGAAAGCGUGGGUAGCAAACAGGAUUAGAUCCCCGUGUAGUC
rnacentral:rRNA from 1 species